UACGGAGGGAGCUAGCGUUGUUCGGAAUUACUGGGCGUAAAGCGCACGUAGGCGGCUAUUCAAGUCGGGGGUGAAAGCCCGGGGCUCAACCCCGGAACUGCCCUCGAAACUAGAUAGCUAGAAUCUUGGAGAGGCGAGUGGAAUUCCGAGUGUAGAGGUGAAAUGCGUAGAUACCAGGAGGAACACCGGUGGCGAAGGCGGCUUCCUGGCCGAGUACUGACGCUGAGGCACGAAAGCGUGGGGAGCGAACGGG
rnacentral:rRNA from 1 species